CAAGCCGAGUGGAGAGCUCCUCAUCAUCAGGUGGCACAAUGGUUUCAGGAGGUGGAGCCAUGAUGUCAGGAGGUGGAGCCAUGAUUUCAGGAGGUGGGGCCCAAAUGAUGUCAGGAGGUAUGAUGUCAUCGGAGACUGUCCAAAUAUCAUCAGGUGGCUCAUUGGUGUCAGGUGGUGGGGCAGGAAUGAUGUCAGGAGGUGAAGGCAUGAUGUCCAGUGGCGGUUCCAUGAUAUCUGGUGGCAUGAUGUCAUCAGGUGGCACCAUGAUGUCAGGAGGUGGAGCCCAAAUGAUGUCAGGAGGUGGAGCCCAAAUGAUGUCAGGAGGUGGAGGCAUGAUGUCCAGUGGCAUGUCUUUAGACGGUUCCAUGAUAUCUGGUGGCAUGGUGUCAUGUGGUGGCUCUGAAAUGAUGUCAUCAGGUGGAGCCAUGUCAGGCGGCAUGAUGUCAUCAGGUGGCUCCAUGAUGUCAGGAGGUGGAGCCAUGAUGUCAGGAGGUGGCUCUGAAAUGAUGUCAUCAGGUGGAGCCAUGAUGUCAGGAGGUGGGGCCCAAAUGAUGUCAGGAGGUGGGGCCCAAAUGAUGUCAGGAGGUGGAGGCCAAAUGAUGUCAUCAGGUGGAGCCAUGGCAGGCGGCAUGAUGUCAUCAGGUGGCACCAUGAUGUCAGGGGGAGAAACGAUGUCCAUGUCUGGUGGCUCAAUGUCAUCCUCCACCAGCUUCUCCUCUUAGAAGGCCCCCCUCUCGUGGCGUGGUGGCCACGGUAACGAUGGAACCUCUGAGUGUUCUGAGAGACACCCUUUGUCUUAACAACGGAACUCCCCUCUGGACAGAAGAAACCGCCAUUGAGUCUGCUUGCUGGUGAUACCUCUUUUUAAAUCCCACUUUAUAUUAAGUGCCCUUAUAAUAGUAUGCUGCCUGAACGAUGUUAAGUGCCCUUAUAAUAGUAUGCUCCGUGAACGAUGUUAAGUGCCCUCAUUACAGCGGACUUACGUGUGUAAUAAAGAAUAUUCUGUCCUUCACAGCAAAGUACACAUUAGUAUCCCUUUUAUUGGUGUCACAUGUCACUAUCCCUAACCCCAUGACACCAUGUCACAGAAUCUACUAAGAUUGAAAAUGACACUAUACCUCUUUGGCAUUGAGGAUAAAGUAUUAAGGACUAAGGCACAUAAAAGGCACUUCAUAUUAAGUGGAUCCCACCUUUCUCACUGGCUUUCAUAGUCACUGUAUCGUUCUUUAUCAAGCAAUUUGCAUUAUAGAGUAUAAAACUAUGUGCCAUGAAACAUUUCUUAAGAAAUUACUUUCUUUUUGACACAUGGCAGUGGCUUUAAAAUAAAUAAAUAAAUAAUCAACUACUGGGUGACGGACACAGAAAGUAUAGCGGGAAAUGUUAUAUUCUAGUUAAAUGUUGAUUUGUCUUUAAGACGAAAGAUCUGGGGCUCAGUUAAAUAUUUCAUGUAAGCUCCACUUAAAUGUUCUUGUUGCUAUGGUUAAGAGUUUUUGUUGCUAUGGUUGAGAGUUUAAAUGUUAAGGGCAUACCUCAGAGAGAAUAUGUUCUGGUAUGUUCCUAUUUUAAUGUUAAAAUAUGGUUCUGAGCUAUCAUGUAAAACAUUGCUCUCAUUUUACAUUUCUGAACAAAUGGGAUAAAAUAAGGGCACAAAAAAACAGUAAAAAAAUAAUAUAAGAAAAAAACCUGUCUUUGUUUUUCUCUGUUUUCUGUGUUGAAACACUAUCUUCCUUUAAAUGGUGAUGCCAAUAAAGCGUAUUGAAUUGACCUAAUUCAGACAUACACAACACAUACACCAUUUACCAUCUCUCUGCAUAGACACACACACAUACACACAAUUUUCUCUACAUACUGCUCUUCGGAACGCUACAUAUAUUCCUGCGCGUUUAUUAUAUUCCAAGGUUGUUUUUUUUCUUUCUACCUUUAAUCUUAUUGCUGUGAUGGAUGACAAAAUGAAGACAAAUGAAUGUGGAAAGUAAUAAACACCUCACUGAACUUUGAAGAGCUCUCUGAAUCUGAUUUAUGUGUUUGACUGAAUGUGUGUUGAAGGCAAGUGUAAUGCCAACUACAGCAGCUUGAUAACAAUACAAAUUCUGACAGUCUUUUAAAGUAUAUCAUUACUAUAAUGUAUGCUGAAUCAUUUAUAAUAAUAAUUUACAGGGGAACAUAACACCAUAAUUUUAAGCUAUACAGGACAGUAAUAUAAAAUCAGUCUAAGAAAAGAAGGCCCUCUCUACAACCCAAGACCAAUGCUAA
ensembl:lncRNA